CCUGGUGGCUCAGAGGUUAAAGCGUCUGCCUGGAAUGCAGGAGACCCGGGUUCGAUCCCCGGGUCAGGA
rnacentral:tRNA from 1 species